CAACCACAGCAGCAACAAGCAAAAUCAACAGAAAUGGCAGUUCAAGCAACAAUUCAACAAUCCUCAUUGUCAAGUUAUAGUUACAAAUAUGCGGUGCCAUAAUUUCAGCAACAACAACAAAAUUCAUGCCAAACUUCAAAAAUCAUGGAUGCAGAAGAAGAAGAACUCGAUGCAAACUCAGAUUCAACAAACAAUUCCACAACAAAUUUGCAGAAUGUAUCAACAAUUUUAGAUCCAGAUUUUUAAUUCCACAUCCAAACAAAACCGCAUCAGAGAUAUCUUCUUCUAGGAACAAGUUCAACCGAUUUGAACACACAAGCAACCUAAAUAUCAAUUCUGCAAUCAGAUUUCCUGAUUCAGGGACCACUUACCUGUAUGCCGGAACGCAACCUUUUGAUGCCCGUGGUCAUCCGUGGCAGGGAACAAAUCCGGUCAAGGACGAAGCAGCAGCAGAUCUGACAACAGGUAGCGGCGCCGAGGACGGCACCUCCGUGAAGGGGGAGUAGAUGCUCGCGACGUCCUGG